rnacentral:rRNA from 1 species
GUGAAUCUGCCAGGACCACCUGGUAAGCCUAAAUACUCCCAGAUGACCGAUAGCGGACAAGUACCGUGAGGGAAAGGUGAAAAGUACCCCGGAAGGGGAGUGAAAGAGAACUUGAAACCGUGUGCUUACAAGUAGUCAGAGCCCGUUAAUGGGUGAUGGCGUGCCUUUUGUAGAAUGAACCGGCGAGUUACGAUCUGAUGCAAGGUUAAGCAGCAAAUGUGGAGCCGCAGCGAAAGCGAGUCUGAAUAGGGCGUUGAGUA